GACGAACGCCGGCGGCGUGCUCAACACAUGCAAGUCGAACGGAAAGGCCCUGCUUUUGUGGGGUGCUCGAGUGGCGAACGGGUGAGUAACACGUGAGUAACCUGCCCUUGACUUUGGGAUAACUUCAGGAAACUGGGGCUAAUACCGGAUAGGAGCUCCUGCUGCAUGGUGGGGGUUGGAAAGUUUCGGCGGUUGGGGAUGGACUCGCGGCUUAUCAGCUUGUUGGUGGGGUAGUGGCUUACCAAGGCUUUGACGGGUAGCCGGCCUGAGAGGGUGACCGGCCACAUUGGAAAGAGAGGGCGCCCCAGUCCCCGACGGAGGGCAGAAGGGGGGAAAUUUACAAAUUGGGCGAAAGCUUAAUGAGGCAACCCCGCGUUGGGGAUGCCGGCCUGUGGGUUGUAAACCGUUUUGGCCUGUGACUAAGGGUGAGGGACCGGAAGGGGAAAAAGAACCCCGGCCGGCUACAU
rnacentral:rRNA from 1 species